GAUGAACGCUGGCGGCGUGCUUAACACAUGCAAGUCGAACGGAAAGGCUCCUGCUUGCAGGGGUACUCGAGUGGCGAACGGGUGAGUAACACGUGGGUGAACUGCCCUGCACUUCGGGAUAAGCCUGGGAAACUGGGGCUAAUACCGGAUAGGACCACAUCUUGGAUGGUGUGGUGGAAAGUUUUUCGGUGUGGGAUGAGCUCGCGGCCUAUCAGCUUGUUGGUGGGGUAAUGGCCUACCAAGGCGUCGACGGGUAGCCGGCCUGAGAGGGUGUACGGCCACAUUGGGACUGAGAUACGGCCCAGACUCCUACGGGAGGCAGCAGUGGGGAAUAUUGCACAAUGGGCGCAAGCCUGAUGCAGCGACGCCGCGUGGGGGAUGACGGCCUUCGGGUUGUAAACUCCUUUCGCUAGGGACGAAGCGCAAGUGACGGUACCUGGAGAAGAAGCACCGGCUAACUACGUG
rnacentral:rRNA from 1 species